CAGCAGCCGCGGUAAUACGGAGGGUGCAAGCGUUAAUCGGAAUUACUGGGCGUAAAGCGCACGCAGGCGGUUUGUUAAGUCAGAUGUGAAAUCCCCGAGCUUAACUUGGGAACUGCAUUUGAAACUGGCAAGCUAGAGUCUUGUAGAGGGGGGUAGAAUUCCAGGUGUAGCGGUGAAAUGCGUAGAGAUCUGGAGGAAUACCGGUGGCGAAGGCGGCCCCCUGGACAAAGACUGACGCUCAGGUGCGAAAGCGUGGGGAGCAAACAGGAUUAGAUACCCGUGUAGUCCCUGUCUCUUUACA
rnacentral:rRNA from 1 species